GAUGAACGCUGGCGGCGUGCUUAACACAUGCAAGUCGAACGGUGAACGAGGGAGCUUGCUCCCUCCGGAUCAGUGGCGAACGGGUGAGUAACACGUGAGCAAUCUGCCCUGGACUCUGGGAUAAGCGUUGGAAACGACGUCUAAUACCGGAUACGAGGCGUGGGGGCAUCCCCAACGCCUGGAAAGAACUUCGGUCCAGGAUGAGCUCGCGGCCUAUCAGGUAGUUGGUGAGGUAACGGCUCACCAAGCCUACGACGGGUAGCCGGCCUGAGAGGGUGACCGGCCACACUGGGACUGAGACACGGCCCAGACUCCUACGGGAGGCAGCAGUGGGGAAUAUUGCACAAUGGGCGCAAGCCUGAUGCAGCAACGCCGCGUGAGGGACGACGGCCUUCGGGUUGUAAACCUCUUUUAGCAGGGAAGAAGCGAAAGUGACGGUACCUGCAGAAAAAGCACCGGCUAACUACGUGCCAGCCGCCGCCGUAAUAC
rnacentral:rRNA from 1 species